rnacentral:rRNA from 1 species
CUUGCUCUUCUUGGAUGAGUUGCGAACGGGUGAGUAACGCGUAGGUAACCUGCCUUGUAGCGGGGGAUAACUAUUGGAAACGAUAGCUAAUACCGCAUAACAAUGGGUGACACAUGUCAUUUAUUUGAAAGGGGCAAUUGCUCCACUACAAGAUGGACCUGCGUUGUAUUAGCUAGUAGGUGAGGUAACGGCUCACCUAGGCGACGAUACAUAGCCGACCUGAGAGGGUGAUCGGCCACACUGGGACUGAGACACGGCCCAGACUCCUACGGGAGGCAGCAGUAGGGAAUCUUCGGCAAUGGGGGCAACCCUGACCGAGCAACGCCGCGUGAGUGAAGAAGGUUUUCGGAUCGUAAAGCUCUGUUGUAAGUCAAGAACGAGUGUGAGAGUGGAAAGUUCACACUGUGACGGUAGCUUACCAGAAAGGGACGGCUAACUACGUGCCAGCAGCCGCGGUAAUACGUAGGUCCCGAGCGUUGUCCGGAUUUAUUGGGCGUAAAGCGAGCGCAGGCGGUUUGAUAAGUCUGAAGUUAAAGGCUGUGGCUCAACCAUAGUUCGCUUUGGAAACUGUCAAACUUGAGUGCAGAAGGGGAGAGUGGAAUUCCAUGUGUAGCGGUGAAAUGCGUAGAUAUAUGGAGGAACACCGGUGGCG